UAGAGUAACUAUCAACUGACAAGGCACAGAUAUACCAAGAAAUCAGACUCCCAUUGUAGUAGUUUUUGGUAAUACCUAUUGGGAUUUAAUUCAGCCUGCUUGUUGCCAUGAGAUUGGCCUUUAUCAUCCCCCUCCACUUGCAUUUACAAAAGUAAAGAGUAGUCAGAACCUUGAGAUAAUGUACUGGUUGUAGCAAAGAAGUGUUCAUAGCAAACAAAACACAUAGAGGAAAAGUUAAAAGAGAUACUAGAGAAGGAGCACCCUCAUCUCCCUACAUGGCAAACUAUCCAGUAGAUUUUCAUUUGAUAAAGAUCAGCAACAAUGCACGUACAUCGCCUACUUGCCUUUGAGCUGAGCCGCAGUAACGAGAAGCCUCAGCACCGGCUCUAGCACCUACUAGGAGAGAAGGUUUAGCAAAUAACACUACUGAGCUACAUACAGUAGCAGCAAACUAUCCAAUCCAUCGCCAUGGCAUAGCAACCAAAACCAGAUCUUGGGCAAGAGGAGAAGAAGCUACAAACCUUAGAUACUCCCAAGAAAAUGUAUUGAAGUUCAAUCCACUUGUGGAAGUGAGGCAGUGAGGCUGAAUUCGCCAUGGACUUCUGUUCCACCUACAUAUAUGAGUUAUAAGAAAUAAUUCUUGAAAGAAUUAUACAGUCAAGUAGUUUCAGUUCACAGCUAGAUCAAUUUUAGUGUGAUUCAUUCCUUGUGCGCAUGGUCUGCACUUCCACAACACCAUUUGAUAGAGCAAAGAUAACACUCUGAAAUGUGAUGGAUUACCAUAUAGUUUCAGUUUCACUCUCUUAUCUAGGUAUUGGUUCGGUUCAUUUUCAUUGGCUGAAAACUAAAGCACCUAGAAGUGUGUGUUUAACUAUUGGUUUUGAUGGCUCUCUCGAAUGUAAAUUGUCUCCAUGAGGAUAGCUUCACCUAUACAUACCUAGACAUAGCUUCCCUAUUAAUCACCUACAGACAAACUAGUUUCCAGCUAAGUAAUAUAUUGUCCACUGAAAACAGGGUGCAACCUGGGACCCUAAAAAUAUUUAUUUCAUGGCAGGGUUAGUUUACAUGGAUCCACCUGUUUUAACCAAAAAGUUGGCCAAUUGAUUGAAAAAUUGUACUGAUUUAUAAACUGAAGAUACCAGCAGAUUUUCUUGAACCUGAUAGCAUACAAACAAUGGGUUGGGCAAAAAUACCAUUGCUGAACUGAAAGACAAAAGCUCAGCAGCUUCUACUCAGCAAAUGAUUGACAACCUAGACAUGUAGGACUGCUUAACAAUUUCAGUGUAGCUCUCAGUUAUCUGUACACAUUAUUUAGGCAAUCAUCGAGCAAUCUCUCGGUACUACCACUUCACCUUUAACCCCCAUCAACCUUCAUUCCCCUUUUAACACUCUCUUACAUGUAUGAGCAGGAUAGCAUGUUAACUCAGAAAUUCUCCCUUAAGCAUAUAAAUCGAACCAGAACACAAAGAAAACGAAACCCUGAAACCCAAUACAAAUUAACUUUGUACAAGUUGCAGAACUCGUUGAUUUGUUCUACUACUAUCACACAGAAGUGGACACAUUAAUUCAUGACAGGGAGGAGAAGAAUCUAGGGUUACCUUGGAAUAAGUGAUAGAUCGACACUUAUCGCUCAGUAGCUACAGGAAAAAAUACAUAAAAGUUUAGAACACGAGAAUCACAACUUUGGGGAUCGGAAGAAACAAAAAGCGAUCGGCAGAUCUAGGAGGAAAAGAGCAAUAGCAGUAGGUACAGAGCACACCUAGCGGUAGCCUUGCACAGUGAAAGGCGCGGUAGGUAGAGGGCGCUGUGAAAGGGAGCGAGUGGUGGACGAGAUUGACAUCGGUGGAAGAGUUUGGCAUGGCGGCGAGAUGGCAAAGAGAAAGCGGCGGCGGCAUGGUGCAGUG
rnacentral:lncRNA from 1 species